GUCAGUGACCCCGGACUAAAGUCCGGGGCUUGAAGGCAGCGGUGCUGCCUUCGGGUCCUAGAUCGAGGUUCGGCGCGUAAUCCACGCGCAUGCUGACCAGCACAAGAAAGAAAGGAGUUAUCUUAUUCAAUCUACGUUGAACCAUACGUCAAAGACCGACGGUCGUGUGCCUCCUCAGCACGGCCCUCUUCUCGAAGCACCGUCAGUAGACAAGCCGGGUCAGGCACGAAACGGGGCGGAUGCAUGUGCGGGUGGUCAACAUGUGCGAGAGGAGACCGUCAAAAGACG
rnacentral:sRNA from 1 species